rnacentral:rRNA from 1 species
CUACGGGUGGCACCAGUCGAGAAUCUUCGGCAAUGGGCGAAAGCCUGACCGAGCGACGCCGCGUGCGGGAAGAAGAGCUAAUUGCUUGUAAACCACUUUUAUCGGGGAAGAACUUUUGUGACGGUACCCGAUGAAUAAGGAGGGGCUAAUCACGUGCCAGCAGCAGCGGUAAUACGUGACCUCCAAACGUUAUCCGGAUUUACUGGGCGUAAAGAGUCUUAAGGCGGUUUAGAAAGUUUUUGGUCAAAUUCUUGGGGCUUAACCUCAAGGCCGCCAGAAAUACUUCUAAACUAGAGGACGUUAGGGGCCAGCGGAACGUACGGUGUAGGGGUGGAAUCCGUUGAUAUCGUGCGGAACACCAAAAGCGAAGGCAGCUGGCUGGGGCGGUCCUGACGCUGAAUGACGAAAGCUGAAGUAGCGAAGAGGAUUAGAUACCCUUGUAGUC